rnacentral:rRNA from 1 species
UACGUAGGGACCAAGCGUUGUUCGGAUUUACUGGGCGUAAAGGGCGCGUAGGCGGCGUGGUAAGUCACUUGUGAAAUCUCUGAGCUUAACUCAGAACGGCCAAGUGAUACUGCUGUGCUAGAGUGCAGAAGGGGCAAUCGGAAUUCUUGGUGUAGCGGUGAAAUGCGCAGAUAUUAGGAGGAACACCGGUGGCGAAGGCGCCGCUCUGGGCCGAUACUGACGCUGAGGAGCGAAAGCGUGGGUAGCAAACAGG